CCGAAAGCCCUUUCGGGGGUGGUAAACCUCUGUUGUGAGGGACGAAAUAAGAUCUGGAGGAAAUGCCAGAUCGAUGACGGUACCUCACGAGAAAGCCCCGGCUAACUACGUGCCAGCAGCCGCGGUAAUACGUAGGGGGCGAGCGUUACCCGGAUUCACUGGGCGUAAAGGGGGCGCAGGCGAUCCAGUAUGUCGGGUGUGAAAUCCCACAGCUCAACUGUGGAAUUGCGCCCGAAACUACUGGGUUUGGGGCUGGUAGAGGGAGACGGAACUGCUGGUGUAGGGGGUGAAAUCCGUAGAUAUCAGCAGGAACGCCGGUGGGGAAGCCGGUCUCCUGGGCCAAGCCCGACGCUGAGGCCCGAAAGCUAGGGGAGCAAACCGGAUUAGAUACCCGGGUAGUCCUAGCCGUAAACGAUGCCCACUAGGUGUGGGGGAGUCAUUCCUCCGUGCUGUAGCUAACGCGUUAAGUGGGCCGCCUGGGGAGUACGCCCGCAAGGGUGAAACUCAAAGGAAUUGGCGGGACCCCGCACAAGCGGUGGAGCGUGUGGUUUAAUUGGAUGCUAAGCCAAGAACCUUACCAGGGCUUGACAUGCAGGUGGUACCAACCCGAAAGGGAAGGGACCCUUUCCUUUUGGAAAGGGAGCCUGCACAGGUGGUGCACGGCCGUCGUCAGCUCGUGCCGUGAGGUGUUGGGUUAAGUCCCGCAACGAGCGCAACCCCUGCCCUUAGUUGCCAGCGGUUCGGCCGGGCACUCUAAGGGGACCGCCGGCGACGAGCCGGAGGAAGGAGGGGACGACGUCAGGUACUCGUGCCCUUUAUGCCCUGGGCUACACACGCGCUACAAUGGGUGGUACAGUGGGUCGCGACCUCGCGAGAGGGAGCCAAUCCCCAAAACCAUCCUCAGUUCAGAUCGCAGGCUGCAACCCGCCUGCGUGAAGCCGGAAUCGCUAGUAAUCGCGGAUCAGCCAUGCCGCGGUGAAUACGUUCCCGGGGUU
rnacentral:rRNA from 1 species